rnacentral:rRNA from 1 species
AGUGAACGCUGGCGGUAGGCCUAACACAUGCAAGUCGAACGGCAGCACAGUAAGAGCUUGCUCUUACGGGUGGCGAGUGGCGGACGGGUGAGGAAUACAUCGGAAUCUACUUUUUCGUGGGGGAUAACAUAGGGAAACUUACGCUAAUACCGCAUACGACCUACGGGUGAAAGCAGGGGAUCUUCGGACCUUGCGCGAUUGAAUGAGCCGAUGUCGGAUUAGCUAGUUGGCGGGGUAAGGGCCCACCAAGGCGACGAUCCGUAGCUGGUCUGAGAGGAUGAUCAGCCACACUGGAACUGAGACACGGUCCAGACUCCUACGGGAGGCAGCAGUGGGGAAUAUUGGACAAUGGGCGCAAGCCUGAUCCAGCCAUACCGCGUGGGUGAAGAAGGCCUUCGGGUUGUAAAGCCCUUUUGUUGGGAAAGAAAAGCAGCAGGUUAAUACCCCGCUGUUCUGACGGUACCCAAAGAAUAAGCACCGGCUAACUUCGUG